rnacentral:rRNA from 1 species
GGACGGANCNGCGAUCCGCGUCGGCGAUUCAAAAUCGAUAGCGUCGGCGACGGCGUCGUUCGGUUUGAUUUUUCGUCGGCCGUCGCGCGCGAGCGAUCGCGCGCGCGUUAGGACGUCGCGACCCGUUCGGCGUCGGUCGAAGGGGCGGGGUGACAGUUUGCGUUUCCGUCGGGAGCGCGUCGGCUUCGCGGUCGGCGCGUUUUCCGGGAGGCGCGAGCCCCCGCUUCGCGACGAGGCCGACUGGCCGGACGGUAGGCUGUAGCGGUGGCCGAGGUCGGCCGUCUUUCGCGGCGGCGUACUCGGUGCCGGUCCGCGACGAUUCUUCGGGCCUCUUUCCGACCCGUCUUGAAACACGGACCAAGGAGUCUAACGUGCGCGCGAGUCACGGGGCGUCGUCGUCCGCGCCCGCAACGGCCGGACGACGUUACGAAAAACGAAACCCGAUCGUAGGCGAAAUGAAAGUGACGGCCGCGGCCUUCGCGCCGCGGCUGGGAAGAUGGCGUGUUCGAGUACACUUUCCCGAGCGCUUCGCAGCCGGGACCGAACGCCCGCACUCCCAGGGCGUCCCACCAGGCCCGGCGUGCGCCGCUCUUCCCGAGCGCGCGCUCGUCGAACCGGGGCGCACUUUUAGCGCGCACGUUGGUACCCGAAAGAUGGUGAACUAUGCCCGGCCAGGAUGAAGUCAGGGGAAACCCUGAUGGAGGUCCGCAGCGAUUCUGACGUGCAAAUCGAUCGUCU